UGGCUUCGACGUCCUGACCGCGGCGUCCUGACGUCACGCGGCGGCCUCGCCCCGCCUCGCUCGGCCCUGCACAGCCAAUGACCGCCACGAGCUACGCUUGAGCCCGCCCUCCCGCCCACGCACUUACGCAUGAGCAUUUUAAGGCAGGCCGGAAGUCUGGGUGGGGACGGUGGCCCCGAGGGGACAAGUGAGGCCGCAUUAGCUGUUUUUGCCUCCCACGCAGCCCCGUUUUGUUGUUGUUCUCGUUCUUGGAGACAGAGUAUUGCUCUUGCUCUGUCAUCGCCCAGGAUGGAGUGCAGUGGCGCGAUCUCGGCUCACUGCAACCUCUGCCUCCCGGGUUCAAGCAAUUCUCCUGCCUCAGCCUCCAAAGUAGCCGGGAUUACAGGCGCGCGCCACUAUACCUGGCUAAUUUUUGUAUAUUUAGUAAAGACGGGGUUUCACCAUGUUGGCCAGGCUGGUCUCGAACUCCUCACCUCGUGAUCCGUCCGCCUCGGCCUCCCAAGUGCUGGGAUUACGGGCGUGAGCCACCGCGCCCGGCCGCAACCUUGUUUUGACUGAGUCAGUGGGAGCCAUUACUGUUCCUCCAUGUACACUGGCGUGACAAGAGUUCCGGGGUUGUCCCCAGCACCGUGAUGUGGAAGCCCUGGGGAGAGAAUGAUAAAGAAAGGGGGUGAGGAACAGCUCCCCCGGGAAGAGCGGGCUUCCCUAGUCAAUGAAUCUGGAAGGGCGCAGUGGAGGGGGCGCGGCGAGUUCAGAUGGAGGGAGGCUGGAAGCUGGUUGGAGGGGGAUGGGUGUCGCAUUGGCAGGGGCGCUGGGGUGGAAGUGUGUGGGGUCACAGGUGUGUAAGGGUGGGCGUGGAGCGGACCCCCAAAGGUCACUGAGGUCAGGCUGAGACAUUGGACCAAAUCUGUACAUAGGCAUUUCUCUGAACUCCGCGCCACCUGUUUCCAUCCAGGACUCGGAUACAAAUUAUCCAGUCUGCUGCAGGGACCGGUCACUGUGUCACACAUUCUGUAACAGACACAGCGAUAAAAUGAAAUGACUGGAACUUAAAUGUGAAAACUCUUUACAAGGCACACGGCACCCUCAGUGCUCAGCACAGCAGUGGGCAGCAUCCUGGUUCGCUUUUCUGCAGGGAAGUGUGUGAACGUUCACACCGAGCGGGGUCAGUCACGUCUGUCGUGAGAAGCAGGACCAGGAUGGUGGCCCAGCGGUGUCUUCAAUGAUAAGCUGGGCCCUUCACCUUGCAGGCCCCUCUCCGUCGGUCCACUCUGCGACUGCUGUCUGCCACACCCUGCCCUGAUAUCUCCUCUCUGCCAGGUUUCUCCCUCACAUCCUCAACUCAGCCAAGAGCUGGUUUCUUCCAGAAAGAGCCCUGCUGUCAGGUGAUUUAUCAGACUUCUCUUUUUUUGGAUGUUUGUUUUCAGGGUUUAGCUGAUCAAAGUGGUAUCGUUGUAACAGGCAGCUCUAAAUAUAAGUCUUCAGAGGCC